rnacentral:rRNA from 1 species
AAUCGAUAAUCCACGAUGGACCUUACUUGAGUUUGUUAUCAGUUUAUAUACCGUUGUUAUUAGAAUAUUUUAUAAGAAGGGUAAUUUUCUAAAUUUUGUAAAAAAUAAUAUAUCAGAUCAAGGUGUAGCUUAUACUUAAGUAAUAAUGGGUUACAAUAAAUUUAUUUAAAUGAAUAUAAAUGUGAAAUGUUUAUUGAAGGUGGAUUUGAUAGUAAAAUUAUAAAGAUAAAUAAUUUGAUUUUAGCUCUAAAAUAUGCACACAUCGCCCGUCACUCUUAUUAUUAAGGUAAGAUAAGUCGUAACAUAGUAGGUGUACUGGAAGGUGUACCUAGAAUGCAAUUUAAAGCUUAUUUAGUAAAGUAUUUCAUUUACAUUGAAAUGAUUGUUGUGCAAAUCAAUAUAAAUUGAUUAGAUUUUAUUUAUUAAAUUAGUUUAUUAUUAAAUGUUUUUAUUAAAAAUAAUUAUAGGGUUUGAUGUUUUAGUAAUUUAUAGUGAAUAAAUAAUAUUUAUUAUAGUUAAAUAGUAUUGUAAAAGAAAAUUGAAAUAAU